rnacentral:rRNA from 1 species
UGGGGAAUAUUGCACAAUGGAGGGAACUCUGAUGCAGCGACGCCGCGUGAACGAAGAAGGCUUUCGAGUCGUAAAGUUCUUUUAUAUGGGAAGAUAAUGACGGUACCAUAAGAAAAAGCCCCGGCUAACUACGUGCCAGCAGCCGCGGUAAUACGUAGGGGGCUAGCGUUGUCCGGAAUCACUGGGCGUAAAGGGUUCGCAGGCGGAAAUGCAAGUCAGGUGUAAAAGGCAGUAGCUUAACUACUGUAAGCAUUUGAAACUGCAUAUCUUGAGAAGAGUAGAGGUAAGUGGAAUUUUUAGUGUAGCGAUGAAAUGCGUAGAUAUUAAAAAGAAUACCGGUGGCGAAGGCGACUUACUGGGCUCAUUCUGACGCUGAGGAACGAAAGCGGGGGUAGCAAACAGG